GAGCCGUGCACCGAUCUGCUACAUGGCGUUUCAUUAUUGGCUCUAACUAUUACCCCCUCGACAGCUCCCGAACAGAUGGUUCGGUAGCUAGCGUAAUCUCUUCCGAAGGAGCGGAUUUCAAAAUCAUUAUUUCAAAUUGCCUUGUACCGUCUUUCUCUCAGCCGUCCUUUCGCUUUCGACUGCCACAAUCUCCCAGACAUUCCUUUUUAUCUCUUAUGCGACAUUUCUUAGGUCAUUUAUUGCCGCCGUCUCGUCAUCAUUAAAGCCGUUUCAGGAAUUCCAUCCAACGACCCUUUUUUUUUUUGUCUCUUUUGUUUUCUUUUUCCCUACGCUUCUCAUUUUCUCUCUUUUUCCUUGCUUUUUUUUCUCCUUCCUUCGUUCUUUCUUCUUUCGUCUCCUCUAAUGGCUCCGUUUCCUUCUCUUCCUUCUUCUCCAUCUCUCGAUUAUACAUUACUUUGACAAUUCGUUCCGUCAAACCCUUCUCGAUUUAUUUUAGGUCCUUCGUUUACAGAUGAACCCUAU
rnacentral:lncRNA from 1 species